AUACAGAGGGUGCGAGCGUUAAUCGGAAUUACUGGGCGUAAAACGCGCGUAGGCGGUCUAUUAAGUCAGAUGUGAAAUCCCAGGGCUCAACCUUGGAACUGCAUCUGAUACUGGUAGACUAGAGUUUUGGAGAGGGAAGUAGAAUUUCAGGUGUAGCGGUGAAAUGCAUAGAGAUCUGAAGGAAUACCAGUGGCGAAGGCGACUUCCUGGCCAAAAACUGACGCUGAGGUGCGAAAGCGUGGGUAGCAAACGGGAUUAGAUACCCUAGUAGUCC
rnacentral:rRNA from 1 species